ensembl:lncRNA
AACUCUCUAAUCUAAUCUCAUAUGCACCCACCCACACCCACACCCACACCAACACCAACACCCACACCAACACCAACACCCACACCAACACCUACCCACACCAACACCAACACCAACACCCACACCAACACCAACACCCACACCCACACCAACACCCACACCCACCCACACCAACACCAACACCAACACCAACACCCACCCACACCAACACCAACACCCACCCACACCAACACCCACACCCACACCAACACCCACACCAACACCAACACCAACACCCACACCAACACAAACACCCACCCACACCAACACCAACACCAACACCCACCCAUACCAACACCAACACCCACACCAACACCCACCCACACCAACACCCACACCAACACCCACACCAACACCAACACCCACACCCACACCAACACCAACACCCACCAACACCAACACCCACACCAACACCCACCCACACCAACACCCACACCAACACCAACACCCACCCACACCAACACCAACACUCACCCACACCAACACCCACACCAAUACCACACCCACGCCAACACCCACACCAACACCCACCCACACCAACACCAACACCCACACCAACACCCACACCAACACCCACCCACACCAACACCAACACCCACCCACACAAACACCCACACCAACACCCACACCAACACCCACACCAACACCAACACCCACACCAACACCAACACCCACACCCACACCAACACCAACACCCACCCACCCACACCAACACCAACACCAACACCCACCCACACCAACACCCACACCAACACCAACACCACCACCCACACCACCACCCACCCACCCCAACCCACACCCACACCAACACCAACACCCACACCAAUACCAACACCCACCCACACCAACACCCACACCCACACCAACACCAACACCCACACCGACACCCACCCACACCAACACCAACACCCACACCAACACCCACACCAACACCAACACCAACACCCACACCAACACCCACACCAACACCAACACCCACACCAACACCAACACCAACACCAACACCAACACCCCUACCAACACCCACACCAACACCAACACCCACAUCAACACCAACACCCACACCAACACCCACACCAACACCCACCCACACCAACACCCACACCAACACCCACACCAACACCAACACCAACACCCACACCAACACCAACACCCACACCAACACCAACACCAACACCCACCCACACCAACACCCACACCAACACCCACCCACACCAACACCCACACCCACACCAACACCCACACCAACAUCCACACCAACACCAACACCCACACCAACACCAACACCAACACCCACACCAACACCCACACCAACACCCACCCACACCAACACCAACACCCGCACCAACACCCACACCAACACCCAAACCAACACCCCACACCAACACCCACCCACACCAACACCAACACCCACACCCACACCAACACCCACACCAACACCAGCACCAACACCCACACCAACACCCACACCAACACCAAACCCACACCACACCCACACCCACACCAACACCACCCCUACCAACACCCACACCAACACCAACACCCACAUCAACACCAACACCCACACCAACACCAACACCCACCCACACCAACACCCACACCAACACCAACACCCACACCCACACCAACACCAACACCCACACCGACACCAACACCAACACCAACACCCGCCCACACCAACACCCACACCAACACCCACCCACACCAACACCCACACCCACCGACACCAACACCAACACCCACCGACACCAACACCCACACCACCCACCCACCCACACCAACACCAACACCAACACCCACACCAACACCAACACCCACACCAACACCAACACCAACACCCACACCAACACCAACACCCACACCAACACCCACACCAACACCCACCCACACCAACACCAACACCAACACCCACACCAACACCAACACAUACACCAACACCCACACCAACACCAACACCCCUACCAACACCCACACCAACACCAACACCCACAUCAACACCAACACCCACACCAACACCCACACCAACACCAACACCAACACCCACACCAACACCAACACCAACACCCACCCACACCAACACCCACACCAACACCCACACCAACACCCACCCACACCAACACCCACACCAACACCCACACCAACACCCACACCAACACCCACCAACACCAACACCCACACCACCACCCACCCACACCAACACCCACACCCACACCAACACCAACACCCACACCAACACCAACACCCACCCACACCAACACCAACACCCACACCAACACCAACACCCACACCAACACCCACCCACCCAUACCAACACCAACACCCACACCAACACCCACACCAACACCAACACCCGCACCAACACCCACCCACACCAACACCAACACCCACACCAACACCAACACCCACACCAACACCCACCCACCCAUACCAACACCAACACCCACACCAACACCCACACCAACACCAACACCCGCACCAACACCCACCCACACCAACACCCACACCAACACCAACACCCACCAACACCAACACCCACACCAACACCACCCACACAACACCCACACCAACACCCACCCACACCAACACCAACACUCACCCACAACAACACCCACACCAAUACCAACACCAACACCCACACCAACACCCACACCAACACCCACCCACCCACACCAACACCAACACCCACACCAACACCCACACCAACACCAACACCAACACCCACACCAACACCCACCCACACCAACACCCACCCACACCAACACCCACACCAACACCAACACCCACACCCACACCAACACCAACACCCACCAACACCAACACCCACACCCACACCAACACCCACCCACACAACACCCACACCCACACCAACACCAACACCCACACCAACACCCACACCAACACCAACACCCACACCCACACCAACACCAACACCACCAACACCAACACCCACACCCACACCACCACCCACCCACACCAACACCCACACCCACACCAACACCAACACCCACACCAACACCAACACCUACCCACCCACACCAACACCCACACCAACACCCACCCACACCAACACCCACACCCACACCAACACCCACACCAACACCCACACCAACACCCACACCAACACCCACACCAACACCAACACCCGCCAACACCAACACCCACACCACCACCCACCCACACCAACACCCACACCCACACCAACACCAACACCCACACCAACACCAACACCCACCCACCCACACCAACACCAACACCCACACCAACACCAACACCCACACCAACACCCACACCAACACCCACCCACACCAACACCAACACCCACACCAACACCCACACCAACACCAACACCCACACCAACACCCACCCACACCAACACCCACACCAACACCCACACCAACACCAACACCCACACCCACACCAACACCAACACCCACCAACACCAACACCAACACCCACACCAACACCCACCCACACAACACCCACACCAACACCAAC